rnacentral:lncRNA from 1 species
AUAAAAUAAUUAUUUAGACACGGGAUUGAAAUUCAUUAAAAGUGUAUCCCUAUAUUUUUAUUAAAUUUUAAUCUAUUUCAUUAAAUGCAAGAAAACGAUUUUAGAUAGAAAGGACAAGGGAGUUGGUGUAUAGCAAAUAGAUCUAUACAGAGUAUAAUGAAAAAUUCAAACCAAAUACUUUCAUUAUAGAAUAGAAUAUGAUAAUAUAUAUAUAGGCUAAAAAUCCUACCAUCUUAAAGAUUUUCACGUGCUGAAACCGGUUUUGAAACGAGGGUUUUCCAAUUAUGUUUAGAAAAAUAUUACCCCUACACCGUAGUACAACUAAAGAUACUUUUUAAUAAAUUAUGUUAUUUAUAUCGAGAUUAUUUAUUAUUUGGCCAAAAAUACCAAGGAUUAGAAAUUAGAAUAGAAUAAAGAGAAACGUACCAGAAGCAAAGCUUUAAUUUCGAUGUCUGAAAGCUUCCCUCCCUCUCCAUCGGCAUCAUCUUUGAGCGAAAUCAAGGUACUCAGCAAGUCGACGUGACCCGACGGGCCGCCGCUACCAGUUUUAUGUUCUUCAAGGAUCGUGUUAAGGAACGAAUCGAAUCGAGCGUGGAGUUUCUUCAUCUUUUUCGUGAUGCCUUGCAGGUCAAACCAGUCAAGCGCCGGGAUGAAGUCACCGAUGUUGAAUUCUCCGGCUAACACCAUCAGUUCAACCACCAUAUCCUUGAACUCAUCUGCCUUUGGAUCUCCGCCGCCGCUUCCAUCGCCA